rnacentral:rRNA from 1 species
AUGCAGCUUUUUGGAAUGGAGGGAGUACAACUUACAUAUCUGGUGGAGCAGUCGCUGGAAGGGGCAAAUGGGACAAUCUUGGAGAUCCAACGGAGACUGAGAGCAAACUUUGAACACAAAAGCAGGGCAAGGAAUCAGUUCUGGUCAAAAGAUACCUGCUGGAGUCGUUGGUGUCGUUGGGUGGAGUUAAUUGGACAAUUGAGGAUAUCCAACAGAGAUUUGGCGAUAUCCAAGGGGCGCCCAUAUGAAGGGUUUGGCAUACGCAAGCGGGCAAAACACAGGACAAAUGCCUACAUUGUCUGCUCAAGAGAAGGGACGCACAAACAGACUGUGUCAGAUUAUCACCGGGUACGUCAGAAGACAUCAAAAAGGAUUGGCUGCAAAGCAAAGAUUAGAGUCGAAAAAAGGAAGGAUGGCAAAUUUGUGAUAGAAAUGGUUCAACUCAACCACAAUCACAAGAUGCUGGAAAGCCCCGGGAUGCUUUUGCACAUGCGAUCGCACAAAAAAGAUGAUCCUUUGAUAGACCAGUUAGUGAAAGACAUGCAACUGGACAACCACACACAUGCUCAGAUGAUGUCGAUGUUGUCGCGUAUGUUCGGUGGUCUGCAGUACAUGGGACAUACUAGCCGCGACUGGAUAACAAGAAACAGAAGUUUACCAGAGAAGAGUCUGAAGAUGAUGUCAAGAAACUUCUGGAUUUCUUCGAGAAAAUGCAGAAGAUAA